GACAGAGGGUGCAAACGUUGUUCGGAAUUACUGGGCGUAAAGCGCGUGUGGGCUGCUCCGAAAGUCAGGUGUGAAAGCCCCGGGCUCAACCUGGGAAGUGCACUUGAAACCUCGGAGCUUGAAUGUCGGAGAGGGCAGCGGAAUUCUCGGUGUAGAGGUGAAAUUCGUAGAUAUCGAGAGGAACACCUGUGGCGAAGGCGGCUGCCUGGACGACGAUUGACGCUGAGACGCGAAAGCGUGGGGAGCAAACAGG
rnacentral:rRNA from 1 species